CAGGUUAAACUUAUUAGAUAAGGAUUUCAUUUACAUUGUAAUUUUGACCGUGCAAUUCGGUAUAACUUGA
rnacentral:tRNA from 1 species